UUGUACAUAACCUAUCCGUGAAGUAACGAAAUUUUCAAUAUAUUUGUAGGAGUGAGAUUUUUAUUCAAGAUAAAAAAUAAAUUUUUUUUGCGGCUUUCUAGAAAUUUUAUCUAAGGAGAGGUGUGAAGUUGUCUAAUUCGAAGUUAUCAAAUUAAAAUUCUGUUACUAGCAACACGCAUAAAUAAAAUUUAGCGGGGUCAGAGACCCUAUGGCGUUAACUUUGCUGGCGCCAUUGCUACAGAUAAAUCACGUGACAGAUUGAGAACAGCCGGCGAAUGAAAUCUCGUUCGAUGGAUACUCGUUUACGCUUCGUUGCACCCAUCCAUUGAUUUACUCGCUGUAUUUUAAGGCAUGAAAAUGGACAUAGAUGGCCCGUGGAUAUUUUUACAGCCCGCUGAAAGUGGUAACUGGUUCCUGUCAAAUAGAACCUGGUGUGAUUGAUCGAAUCCCUUUGUCGAUGUACCUACGCUAUUUUUUCGUCGUAUAAACCAUUUGUCCGGUAUUUUUCUACUUCUUGUUUCUUUCAUUUUUGUGUAAGAAAAAAGAUCUGUAAAUUCCAUCGCAUUACAAUUUCAAUGCAUCAAUGCGUGCCAUGAAUAAAAUUCCCUAGUCAGAAGUCAGUAGAUCAGACGAUAGAAGUGCUGACAAUACCAUAAGGCGUUUCCUUGAGAAAUCGAGCCGUGAAAUGACCUAGUGGCACCGAUGCCGGGCCAAUGAUGUAGAGAAACUGCUCGAGGACAAUUAACUCAGCAGAACCUGAACGUUUCUUUGAGGAAAGUGCUUCGCUACUGGUCGGCCAAUCACGGCCUCCAUCUUCCAGCACAACCGGGACAAAGGAAUUCCCUAUUCGGGUCUCUUUUCGCAGUAUCCAUAACCCAAAGCGAUACUGAUUGUUAUUCCACUUUCCAUUCUAUUAAUUUUAAAUACGUCCAUGGCUUAUUACAGAUGGGGAGUCACAAUGGAACAGAAUUUUUAAAAAAUCAUUUUCCUUAUUGGUAAUCCUGGAAAUAUAAGGCUCUUUUCACAUCUGAGCAAUUUCUUUAAUUUUUCUCAUUUUCUAAAAUUCGAAUAAUUAGCAAUUUUCUUUUUAAUUCGUAAUAAUGCAAUGGUGUACAAAUUUUUAGCUGAAAAGUGUGCGAAGACCUAUACAGGUCAGGAUAUUUUUGGAAAUAUCUGAAAGGAAACAGAGAACGUUUGCCAAUUCCAUGGAUAGACGCCUUUGAGACCUCUCGCAUGUCGUGACUCGUUAAGCUGAUCAACGAUCGCAAUUUCGAAUCAGUCCUUUAAUCUACCGACUGCUAUUGGUUAUCCAUUACGCGUUUAACGAGGUCGCCGCUGCAAGAAACGAUAUUGCACCGGUAUGGAUUUAUUUACAGCACGUCCUGACCAGCAUCCCGCACUUCUUCAUCCGCAUCCCCUUGAAUAUCCGAUAGAAAAGCGCGAUAUCCGCUUUUUUCCCUACUUUUUCUUUUUUUUUUUUUUAUUCAAGGCAUUUUUCAUAAUUCUCUUUAAAACAUGUAUCCACACGAAACGGGUAAUUUAAAAUCGUAGUCAAAAUCAUAGAAUAUCAUUCUUUCUGUCAGAACUGGGAGAAAAAUGUCAUAAAAUAUCAAAAAAAAAAAAAUAAAAAAAUAUUGUAACCUUGUGCAACUAUGGAACAUGUUUUAACUAAUAGAACAACAUCUCAAUGUUUACCAUAUGGAACUCAAUGUCUGAAUCGAUCAUUUUAUCGUAAAUAUUCGUUAAAUCGAAUAGAAAUAAAACGGGAUAAAAUUAGAAAGCUUUUAUGUCCGUCUAGACAUGCUAUAAGUGGAAUUAAACAGUAUAUGCUCGGACACGCAAUGGUCUCGCAAAAUUUGACAGAAUGACACGAUUUCUAAGUAGAAUAUAAGCUAUGAUCAGAUUAUAGCAAAUAAAAGAGAAAUGUACAUACAAUAUUAUAAUAGUAACAUUCAGUUUUUAAGAAAAAUAAUCUUGUAUAUGGUCAGACUUUACAAUAAAAUUGCUGUAAGCAGAA